UAAAACUUUCAACAAUGGAUCUCUUGGUUCCGGCAUCGAUGAAGAACGCAGCGAAAUGCGAUAACUAGUGUGAAUUGCAGAAUUCCGUGAAUCAUCGAGUCUUUGAACGCACAUUGCGCCCCCUGGUAUUCCGGGGGGCAUGCCUGUCCGAGCGUCA
rnacentral:rRNA from 1 species